rnacentral:rRNA from 1 species
GAUGAACGCUAGCUACAGGCUUAACACAUGCAAGUCGCAGGGUAACAUGAGGAAAGCUUGCUUUCCUUGAUGACGACUGGCGCACGGGUGAGUAACGCGUAUCCAACCUUCCCAUAACUACGGGAUAACCCGUUGAAAGACGGCCUAAUACCGUAUGAUAUCGUUUGCUGACAUCAAAUAACGAUUAAAGGUUUAGCGGUUAUGGAUGGGGAUGCGUCUGAUUAGCUUGUUGGCGGGGUAACGGCCCACCAAGGCGACGAUCAGUAGGGGUUCUGAGAGGAAGGUCCCCCACAUUGGAACUGAGACACGGUCCAAACUCCUACGGGAGGCAGCAGUGAGGAAUAUUGGUCAAUGGGCGAGAGCCUGAACCAGCCAAGUAGCGUGCAGGAUGACGGCCCUAUGGGUUGUAAACUGCUUUUAUGUGGGGAUAAAGUGCGUGACGUGUCAUGCAUUGCAGGUACCACAUGAAUAAGGACCGGCUAAUUCCGUGCCAGCAGCCGCGGUAAUACGGAAGGUCCGGGCGUUAUCCGGAUUUAUUGGGUUUAAAGGGAGCGUAGGCUGUCUAUUAAGCGUGUUGUGAAAUAUACCGGCUCAACCGGUGGCUUGCAGCGCGAACUGGUCGACUUGAGUAUGCAGGAAGUAGGCGGAAUUCAUGGUGUAGCGGUGAAAUGCUUAGAUAUCAUGACGAACUCCGAUUGCGCAGGCAGCUUACUGUAGCAUAACUGACGCUGAUGCUCGAAAGUGCGGGUAUCAAACAGG